AUUUCUGCCAACGGCAGUUUUUGUCGGGCCGAUUUGAACCAACGGCAAUUUUUUUUUUCCAAAGUCGGUGUUGAAAGAAAAAUUACAAGUGAAAAUACUUGUUUAAAGGGAUUGAAAUGCAUAAACAUCCGUUUCCUUCCACUUCAAGAGGAAAUCUCAAAACGGUGUUCCGCCACUGCGCUAGGAGAUUCGGCGGAACCACAAAGAUAUGCAUGCGAAGGAUUCCGGAACUCCAAGUCUCUCCAAGUCACCAUAAGUCUGGAACACAAUUAGUCUGGCACUUGGUCUGGCACGACCAAUCCCAAUAAUCUUUCAACCUGCUUUCAACUUCAUUGGGCCGAUGUCA